UGGGGAAUAUUGCACAAUGGGCGCAAGCCUGAUGCAGCCAUGCCGCGUGUAUGAAGAAGGCCUUCGGGUUGUAAAGUACUUUCAGCGGGGAGGAAGGUGUUGAGGUUAAUAACCUCAGCAAUUGACGUUACCCGCAGAAGAAGCACCGGCUAACUCCGUGCCAGCAGCCGCGGUAAUACGGAGGGUGCAAGCGUUAAUCGGAAUUACUGGGCGUAAAGCGCACGCAGGCGGUCUGUCAAAUCGGAUGUGAAAUCCCCGGGCUCAACCUGGGAACUGCAUUCGAAACUGGCAGGCUAGAGUCUUGUAGAGGGGGGUAGAAUUCCAGGUGUAGCGGUGAAAUGCGUAGAGAUCUGGAGGAAUACCGGUGGCGAAGGCGGCCCCCUGGACAAAGACUGACGCUCAGGUGCGAAAGCGUGGGGAGCAAACA
rnacentral:rRNA from 1 species